ensembl:lncRNA
GACUUCCACUGUAGGAGCACUACAACUGUCUCAGGACACCCACUGUCCUAUAACCUCCACUAUCCCAGGAAUUCCACUGUCGUAGCACCACCCGUAGCAACUAAAGUGUUUCAGGACAUCAACUGAAGCAAGAUCUCCCAUGAUUCUGCAACUUCACUGCCCCAGGAUCUCUACAGUGACAGGAAUACCCCUGUAUCAGCAAUUCCAAUUUUGCAGGACCUCCACUGUAGCAGAACCUUCAAUUGUGCAGCAGCUCCCCUGUAGGUAGAUUGACCUCCACGAUCUCAGUGCCUCCACUUUCAAAGGACCUUCACUGUCACAGAACUGGCGCUAUUUCAGUGCCUCCACUGUCGCAGGACCAACUCUUCACAGGAUCUGCACUGUUGCAGCAACUGUAAUUUCAAUUUUUCAAAGUCAUUGCUGGUUUUUAGAUUUCAGGCUGAAUGAAAUGAGAUGUUACUUUUGAAAGCAUAAGAAUUUGUUCUAUACCUCUUGUGAUAAAUGCCGUGUGUGCUAGGACCAGUAAAGUAUGGAAGACUUCUUCAGCUCAUACCACUCUCCACCUCACUUUGUGGAAGCUGGUGUUUUUAGAGUGUGAUAAACUUCAGGUGAAUGGAUGCAUUCAGCUGUACCACGCUCUAGAGUGGGCUACACAGCAGUCAUAUGGAGUCCUUGCUGGGAAGAGAAGAAAUCCAGAAGAGGGAGAAGGCUUGGGUUGGGGGAAGAAUCAUAAAAUACUUAGAUGAUAUUAGAAGGUAAGAAUUAUGGGGAACUGGAAAACAGAGCCAGAGGAAGAAUGAGCACAGAGCAAACUGGGAAGGACAAAGUACAAAGGCACUUGGGUUUUGCCAUCUGCGUGUUCUCUGGACAAUCUGGGCCACAUUUAUGGGAGAAAACUUAUCCCCCACCGCCUUGUAAGGUUACAUUCUUGAAGGAAAGCAGCAACACAACUUCAUCAGUGAAUUGCCCCAUUGGAAUUGGUUCAUCCUUUAAUGCCUCUGGGAAAUCCCCAGCUGGGGAAUGUCCUGCUCUCUGCUGAGAGACAGCAGGAAACUCAGGUUGGACAACUAGGUGCCCAUGACCAACUCCUCAUUGUGGAUGGAUUUAGUCUGGUUGGACUUUCUCAGGAAAGGCAGCUGAACUCAUGACUAGUACCAGUUCCAUGGUUACCCUGGAAGUUGCAAAUCAAGACAUCCUAUCUCACUGCCUGUCCACCUUUCUUACCCAGCCAUUGUCCUCCAUGGUGCAGAGAGGGAAUAACUCUGCAUGUGGUCAACACACAUUACCCUGGAAGACCCGAGAGUUCAAGGACGGCCAACUUUCACUUAAGCAAACUUGUCCACAGACUGCGUGGGUCCCAUCAGCUGAGAGUAGCCUCCACAUUACAGUGAUGUGCAAACUUCUGCUUUUAAGUCAUGAUGGACUUUAGGAUCUAACCUGAGGACCCUACACAAGGCACAGGUGUUUUCCUGCCCUAACUGUGAAGCAGGAACCAAACACCACUCCUCAUGGGACUGUCUGAGAUGAGGCCAGCUGUGGGUCUGAACUGUCAACAAGGAGGACGGGAGCUGUCUGUGCCAUACAUCAAAGCAUAGUGUCCCACGUAGUAUUUUAUUACAGAGGCUUGAAAUCCCAUGCAUUUCAUCGCACCCAAAAUUUCAGGGUCUGGCCUGAGGGGAAGCAGUUCUUCACAACGACCUGUGAACCCCUUCCCGUGUACUUUGAACCAGGCGUGUUUCAUCACCUCACUGUCUGUUGGUCUAUACAUUGGAUUUACUGUUAGUAAUUGACUAAGGAGGUUCUCCAGUUCUUCUGAAACCCCACAGGGGGCAGGAUACACCCCUGAAACAACUUGUUUUUGUAAUUUUUGGAUGAUCACUGAAUCAAAUGGGAGCUUUCCCACUACCAUAUAAUACAAGACCACUCCUAUUGUCCACAUGUCAUUAUUCGUCCCGUCAUACAGAAGUCCAAGGAAGAGUUCCGGGGAACCAAAAGAGUACGCACCUCAGUGCUGGUUUAGCAUUUGUCCAGGUUGUGUUUUGGUGCUAAGCCCAAAGUCGAUGACUUUGACCUUUUUGUUUUUAUCGAUCAUUGUAUUGUCCAGUUUCAGGUCUCGGUGAACAAUCCCCUUUCCUUGGCAGUAGCUCACUGCUGAUAAUAUCUGUUCAAAUAUUUGCCGAGCCUCAUCCUCCUCUAUGUGCCCUGACUCUCUGAUGUACUGGUGGAGUUGUUGGCCUUCCACCAGCUCCAUUAUGAGGUAUAUUCUAGUUUUGUUUUCAAUGACUUGUAAGAGAGAAACAAUGUUGGGGUGGUUGAUCUUUCUCAUUAUGUUUGCUUCUGUCAUGGCUGGCUGGAAUCACUGCUUGUCCUUUCGGAGAACUUUGAUCGCCACCGGGGAACCUGUGAGCCAGUGGUCGGCAAGGAGGACCUUGGCAUGGCUUCCUUUUCCAAUAGUCUUCAAUACUUUAUAUUGGGAAUGAAAGGUUCCCUCCUGAGUGAUACUGGGAUCGGGGCUAGGAGGUGGUAACUCCUCCUCAAUCUCUGUAGGCAUUUUAUCAGUACUAAUGAUACCUAAAAAUAACAAAAAAUGGAAUCAAAUAAUGAAAAAGAUGGAGCAAUUCAGGAACUAAAAUUACACAUGUGGAUCCUAAAAGAAACAAACGAAACAAAAAGAAAAAAAAUAAAAACAAAGAAAAGACUAGACUAGAAAAAUAGAGUAAAAUUAUUAAAAGGGGGAAAAUAUGAAGCAUCAUAAGUAAAAGCCACCCAAAUAACCAACCCCAAAAGAGAAAGCAAAGAGCACACACAUACUAAAUGCAAUGAUCUAAAUAAAAAUCGUCAUACUACAAUAGGAUUGGGCGGCCAAAUCUGAUCAAUACUGUGAAUGGAUGUAGUUUGAAGAAAAAGGUCAGAUGAAAGAAACGAGAGGAGAAACAAUUAGUAUAAGACAAAACAAAGAAAUAUAAAAAAACCAACACUUAAGGGAAAACUCCAUUGAAUUUCAGGACCCAGUGAUCCACAAAACUCCACAACUCUCCAGAGCAAAAUACUGAAAAUUAAAAUUAACCAAUCACAAGGAAUAAGGCAGUUAAAUAUCAGUGAAUAGUAAACCUUAAACAAAGGCCGAAGAGUCAAAGUGUCACAAAGCGCAAAUUUGUAUCAAGUCUAAGCCAAUGAUUGCUUGUACUCAAUAAAUAGAGAAACAGGAAUAAUGUAAAAGGAAGAAACCGCAGGACAUUGAAAAUGGAGAUAGAGUGAAUCAUCUGACUGCAGAAACGUAAAUAAUCAAAACAAUAAUAUAGCAUGUGAGAACAUAAAAACCACCACCAAACUGAAUCCAGC